rnacentral:misc_RNA from 1 species
AAGUCGUAACAAGGUUUCCGUAGGUGAACCUGCGGAAGGAUCAUUAGAGGAGAAGAGGGUCCCCCGGGGCCCGAAUUCACCACCCUUUGCGAAUUUACCUUUGUUGCUUUGGCGGGCCGGAGGCCUCCGGACCUCCCGUCGACCCCGGUGGACGUGUGCCCGCCAGAGACCCAUCAAACCCUGUUAAUCAGUGCAGUCCGAGUCAAUAUAAUCGUUUUAAAACUUUCAACAACGGAUCUCUUGGUUCUG